AUACGGAGGGUGCAAGCGUUACUCGGAAUCACUGGGCGUAAAGCUCGCGCAGGCGGUCUUUUAAGUUGGAUGAGAAAGCCUACGGCUCAACCGUAGAACUGCAUCCAAAACUAUUAGACUAGAGUGUGGGAGAGGAAGAUGGAAUUAGUUGUGUAGGGGUAAAAUCCGUAGAGAUAACUAGGAAUACCAAAAGCGAAGGCAAUCUUCUGGAACACUACUGACGCUGAGGCGCGAAAGCGUGGGGAGCAAACAGGAUUAGAAACCCUAGUAGUCC
rnacentral:rRNA from 1 species